GAGGGUAUAGCUCAGAGGUAGAGCUCAUGCUUAGCAUGUACAAGGUCCUAGGUUCAAUCCUCAGUACCUCCA
rnacentral:tRNA from 1 species